UUUUCUCACGUCCAAUCAUGGCGGAACAGACUGAGAGGUCGUUUCAGAAACAGCCAACUGUUUUUCUGAACAACAAGAAAAAUUUGAUGUCCGUUAAGGGGCAGAAAAACACACGCCAUUUCAAGAGUGUUGGUCUAGGAUUUAAGACACCAAGAGAGGCAAUGCUUGGAACCUACAUUGACAAGAAAUGUCCCUUCACAGGAAACGUGUCCAUCCGUGGACGCAUUCUGACAGGUGUUGUCCAGAAAAUGAAAAUGCAGAGAACAAUUGUGAUCCGACGCGACUACCUGCACUACGUUAAAAAGUACAAGAGAUUCGAGAAGAGGCAUAGAAACAUGUCUGUGCACCUUAGUCCAUGCUUCAGCUACAUAUGUACUUGAUUGGAUAUUUACAGGGACGUGGAGAUGGGAGACAUUGUGACUGUAGGUGAAUGUAGACCACUCAGCAAAACUGUCCGCUUCAACGUCCUGAAGGUCUCCAAGGGAGGUGCCAAUUCCAAGAAGGGAUUCAAAAAAUACUAAUGUACUAUAAAUAAAAAAAAGUCUGUC
rnacentral:misc_RNA from 1 species